rnacentral:misc_RNA from 1 species
GAUGAAGAACGCAGCGAAAUGCGAUAAGUUAUGUGAAUUGCAGAAUUCAGUGAAUCAUCGAAUCUUUGAACGCACAUUGCGCCCGCCAGUAUUCUGGCGGGCAUGCCUGUUCGAGCGUCAUUACAACCCUCAGGCCCCCGGGCCUGGCGUUGGGGAUCGGCGGAGCCCCCCGUGGGCACACGCCGUCCCCCAAAUGCAGUGGCGGUCCCGCCGCAGCUUCCAUCGCGUAGUAGCUAACACCUCGCGACUGGAGAGCGGCGCGGCCACGCCGUAAAACACCCAACUCUUCUGAAGUUGACCUCGAAUCAGGUAGGAAUACCCGCUGAACUUAAGCAUAUCAAUAAGCGGAGGA